GACGUAGGGCGCGAGCGUUGUCCGGAUUUAUUGGGCGUAAAGAGCUCGUAGGCGGCUUGUCGCGUCGAAUGUGAAAACUCGGGGCUCAACUCCGAGCUUGCAUUCGAUACGGGCAGGCUAGAGUUCGGCAGGGGAGACUGGAAUUCCUGGUGUAGCGGUGAAAUGCGCAGAUAUCAGGAGGAACACCGGUGGCGAAGGCGGGUCUCUGGGCCGAUACUGACGCUGAGGAGCGAAAGCGUGGGGAGCGAACAGG
rnacentral:rRNA from 1 species